rnacentral:lncRNA from 1 species
UUUGCGCUGCUCGUGAUCAAAUACUUUCUGUUACGCUCAUAACGGGUCAGCAAUAAAGUUCUAAUUAGAAAAUUAUGAAAUGCAUACAUGCAUACAUACAUAUGUAGUUGUAUGGCUAUGUAAACAAAUAACAUUUUUUUUUGCUCUGUUGCACAAAUGACAAAUGUGGUGCCUUCCUGUAACGCAUACUUUUACAAGCAUUAAUGCAAAGCAGACAAUACCUACAAUAACAACAAUAAAAUACCAUCGUGCGCCUAAAUUAAUCAGCUUUUCGGAAUAUGUGCGAACUGCAAGAAUUUAAGAAAAUUCGCGCAAUACAUUUUAUACAAUAUGAAAAUAAUAUAUAUGUACAUACACACAUACAUACAAUGAAUGUGACUACAAAUAACUUAAACUAAAAAUUAAUAAUUAUACAUCAAUCGAUAAGGAGUCAACAAAUAAUAUUAAUACUGUGUUAGUGUUUGUUAAAAUGUAUUGGUUUCUAUAAAAAA